GUACCAUUAGCUAGUCGAUGUGAUAACAGCUCACCAAGUCCAAGAGGAGUAUCCCCUCCGCGAGAGCGAACGGUCACUCUGGAAUUGAGACACGGUCCAGACUCAUACGGGAGGCACCAGUGGGGAAUACUGGGCAAUGGGGGCAACCCUGAAGCAGCAAUACCGCGUGAGUGAAGAAGGUUUUUGGAUGGUAAAGCUCUGUUAUUGGGGAAGAAAAAAAGACGGUACCCAAGAAGAAAGUUCCGGCUAACUCCGUGCCAGCAGCCGCGGUAAUACGUAGGGAACAAGCGUUGUCCGGAUUUAUUGGGUGUAAAGGGCACGCAGGCGGUUUUUUAAGUCAGAUGUGAAAGGCCACAGCUCAACUGUGGACAUGCAUUUGAAACUGAAAGACUUGAGUAUUGGAGAGGCAAGUGGAAUUCCUAGUGUAGCGGUGAAAUGCGUAGAUAUUAGGAGGAACACCGGUGGCGAAGGCGGCUUGCUGGACAAAAUACUGACGCUGA
rnacentral:rRNA from 1 species